GGUUGCGCUCAGGGCAACGGGGAAAGAGAGAACCAACAAACUGGUGUAGUACCCAGGGGGCCUGGCUCCUGUCCGAACUCUGCCUUAACGCCAAGCCCUCCAGUGAGAUGGAGCCAGAAAUAGGGACAUUCAUCAACCUUUCAUCCUUGUCUACAGCCAUACUGGCUUCAGAUUGAGACCCCAUCUUGUCAAGAGACUCUUCCAAGCCAUACAAUUUUGUAUAGGAAUUAAAACUAACAUGAGCAAUAUUUUCAUUUUAUAAAAAAUAACUUGUAUUUUCAAACCCCCCCCCAAAAGAACCAACAUGGUAAUAGUGGCAUUGUUUCAUAUUUUCCCAAUUUUCUUUCUUGUCUGGCUUAAUACAAGACAGAUGAAUUCUCAUA